rnacentral:rRNA from 1 species
GACGAACCGUGCGAACGUUGUUCGGAAUCACUGGGCUUAAAGGGCGCGUAGGCGGGUGUGCAAGUCUGUGGUGAAAGCCUCCAGCUUAACUGGAGAAGUGCCAUGGAUACUGCACAUCUUGAGGAGGGUAGGGGCAUCUGGAACGGUCGGUGGAGCGGUGAAAUGCGUUGAUAUCGACCGGAACUCCGGUGGCGAAGGCGAGGUGCUGGACCCUUUCUGACGCUCAGGCGCGAAAGCCAGGGGAGCAAACGGG